UACGUAGGGGGCUAGCGUUGUCCGGAUUUAUUGGGCGUAAAGAGCGUGUAGGCGGCCAGGUAGGUCUGCUGUGAAAACUCGAGGCUCAACCUCGAGAGGUCGGUGGAAACCGUAUGGCUAGAGUCCGGAAGAGGAGAGUGGAAUUCCCGGUGUAGCGGUGAAAUGCGCAGAUAUCGGGAAGAACACCCGUGGCGAAGGCGGCUCUCUGGGACGGUACUGACGCUGAGACGCGAAAGCGUGGGGAGCGAACAGG
rnacentral:rRNA from 1 species